rnacentral:rRNA from 1 species
GUGCCAGCCGCCGCGGUAAUACCGGCGGCUCGAGUGGUGGCCGCUUUUAUUGGGCUUAAAGCGUUCGUAGCUGGGUUGUUAAGUCUCUUGGGAAAUCUGGCGGCUUAACCGUCAGGCGUCUAAGGGAUACUGGCAAUCUUGGAACCGGGAGAGGUGAGGGGUACUUCGGGGGUAGGAGUGAAAUCCUGUAAUCCUCGAGGGACCACCUGUGGCGAAGGCGCCUCACCAGAACGGCUUCGACAGUGAGGGACGAAAGCUGGGGGAGCAAACCGGAUUAGAUACCCGGGUAGUCCCAGCCGUAAACUAUGCGCGUUAGGUGUAUCGGUGACCACGAGUUACCGAGGUGCCGAAGGGAAACCGUGAAACGUGCCGCCUGGGAAGUACGGUCGCAAGGCUGAAACUCAAAUGAAUUGACGG